rnacentral:rRNA from 1 species
GACGAACGCUGGCGGCGUGCUUAACACAUGCAAGUCGAACGGUGAAGGGACCGGUUUUUGCUGGUUCUGGAUGAGUGGCGAACGGGUGAGUAACACGUGAGUAACCUGCCCCCUUCUUCUGGAUAACCGCAUGAAAGUGUGGCUAAUACGGGAUAUUCUGCGCCUGCUGCAUGGUGGGUGUGGGAAAGAUAUUGUUUCGGUGGGGGAUGGGCUCGCGGCCUAUCAGCUUGUUGGUGGGGUGAUGGCCUACCAAGGCGGUGACGGGUAGCCGGCCUGGGAGGGUGGACGGUCACACUGGGACUGAGACACGGCCCAGACUCCUACGGGAGGCAGCAGUGGGGAAUAUUGCACAAUGGGCGCAAGCCUGAUGCAGCGACGCCGCGUGAGGGAUGGAGGCCUUCGGGUUGUAAACCUCUUUCGCCAGUGAAGCAGGCCUGUCCCUUUUGUGGGUGGGUUGACGGUAGCUGGAUAAGAAGCGCCGGCUAACUACGUG